rnacentral:misc_RNA from 1 species
GAAAUGCGAUACUUGGUGUGAAUUGCAGAAUCCCGUGAACCAUCGAGUCUUUGAACGCAAGUUGCGCCCGAAGCCAUUAGGCCGAGGGCACGCCUGCCUGGGUGUCACACAUCGUUUCCCCAACGCAAACAUGUAACAAUGUUGCUGCGCGGGGUGUAUGCUGACGUCAUAACC